CCUGAUGCAGCCAUGCCGCGUGUAUGAAGAAGGCCUUCGGGUUGUAAAGUACUUUCAGUUGUGAGGAAGGGUGUGUAGUUAAUAGCUGCGCAUCUUGACGUUAGCAACAGAAGAAGCACCGGCUAACUCCGUGCCAGCAGCCGCGGUAAUACGGAGGGUGCGAGCGUUAAUCGGAAUUACUGGGCGUAAAGCGCAUGCAGGUGGUUCAUUAAGUCAGAUGUGAAAGCCCGGGGCUCAACCUCGGAACUGCAUUUGAAACUGGUGAACUAGAGUACUGUAGAGGGGGGUAGAAUUUCAGGUGUAGCGGUGAAAUGCGUAGAGAUCUGAAGGAAUACCAGUGGCGAAGGCGGCCCCCUGGACAGACACUGACACUCAGAUGCGAAAGCGUGGGGAGCAAACAGGAUUAGAUACCCUGGUAGUCCACGCCGUAAACGAUGUCUACUUGGAGGUUGUGGCCUUGAGCCGUGGCUUUCGGAGCUAACGCGUUAAGUAGACCGCCUGGGGA
rnacentral:rRNA from 2 species